GAUGAACGCUGGCGGCGUGCCUAAUACAUGCAAGUCGAGCGAAUGGAUUAAGAGCUUGCUCUUAUGAAGCUAGCGGCGGACGGGCGAGUAACACGUGGGUAACCUGCCCAUAAGACUGGGAUAACUCCGGGAAACCGGGGCUAAUACCGGAUAACAUUUUGAACCGCAUGGGUCGAAAUUGAAAGGCGGCUUCGGCUGUCACUUAUGGAUGGACCCGCGUCGCAUUAGCUAGUUGGUGAGGUAACGGCUCACCAAGGCAACGAUGCGUAGCCGACCUGAGAGGGUGAUCGGCCACACUGGGACUGAGACACGGCCCAGACUCCUACGGGAGGCAGCAGUAGGGAAUCUUCCGCAAUGGACGAAAGUCUGACGGAGCAACGCCGCGUGAGUGAUGAAGGCUUUCGGGUCGUAAAACUCUGUUGUUAGGGAAGAACAAGUGCUAGUUGAAUAAGCUGACACCUUGACGGUACCUAACCAGAAAGCCACGGCUAACUACGUGCCAGCAGCCGCAGUAA
rnacentral:rRNA from 1 species